GCUCUGUUUGCUGAAUUGGCAAAUCCACCCUGUAAGCUGGAAACACUAAGUCUUUCAGGCUGUCUGAUGACAGAUGAAGGCUGUGAUUUUCUGGCUUCAUUUCUGACCUCCCACCCCACCCAUUUGAGAGAACUGGACUUGAGCUACAAUUACAUAGGAGACUCAGGAGAAAAGCUGCUGAACCAGCUUAGACUGGAGAGUAUGAGGGUGGAGCCUGCUGGAGUCCGAUGGUU